CUACGGGAGGCAGCAGUGGGGAAUAUUGCACAAUGGGGGAAACCCUGAUGCAGCAACGCCGCGUGGAGGAUGACGCAUUUCGGUGUGUAAACUCCUUUUAUAUCCCAAGAUAAUGACGGUAGGAUAUGAAUAAGCACCGGCUAACUCCGUGCCAGCAGCCGCGGUAAUACGGAGGGUGCAAGCGUUACUCGGAAUCACUGGGCGUAAAGGGCGCGUAGGCGGGUUGUCAAGUCUUGAGUGAAAUCCAACGGCUCAACCGUUGAACUGCUUGAGAAACUGGCAGCCUAGAGUAAGGGAGAGGUAGAUGGAAUUGGUGGUGUAGGGGUAAAAUCCGUAGAGAUCACCAGGAAUACCCAUUGCGAAGGCGAUCUGCUGGAACUUUACUGACGCUGAGGCGCGAAAGCGUGGGGAGCAAACAGGAUUAGAUACCCCUGUAGUC
rnacentral:rRNA from 1 species